CCUACGGGAGGCAGCAGUGAGGAAUAUUGGUCAAUGGCCGCAGGGCUGAACCAGCCAAGUCGCGUGAGUGAUGACGGUCCUAUGGAUUGUAAACCUCUUUUGCCAGGGAGCAAAGGGCGCCACGUGUGGCGCUUUGCGAGUACCUGAAGAAAAAGCAUCGGCUAACGCAGUGCCAGCAGCCGCGGUAAUACGGAGGAUGCGAGCGUUAUCCGGAUCUAUUGGGGUUAAAGGGUGCGCAGGCGGAAUGUCAAGUCAGCGGUAAAAUUUCGGGGCUAAACCCCGUCGUGCCGUUGAAACUGGCGUUCUUGAGUGAGCGAGAAGUAUGCGGAAUGCGUGGUGUAGCGGUGAAAUGCAUAGAUAUCACGAAGAACUCCGAUUGCGAAGGCAGCAUACCGGCGCUCAACUGACGCUCAUGCACGAAAGCGUGGGUAGCGAACAGGAUUAGAUACCCGAGUAGUC
rnacentral:rRNA from 1 species